rnacentral:rRNA from 1 species
AUUGAACGCUGGCGGAAUGCUUUACACAUGCAAGUCGAACGGCAGCACGGACUUCGGUCUGGUGGCGAGUGGCGAACGGGUGAGUAAUGUAUCGGAACGCGCCCAGUCGUGGGGGAUAACGUAGUGAAAAUUACGCUAAUACCGCAUACGAUCUAUGGCUGAAAGCGGGGGAUAGAAAGACCUCGCGCGAUUGGAGCGGCCGAUAGCAGAUUAGGUAGUUGGUGGGGUAAAGGCCCACCAAGCCAACGAUCUGUAGCUGGUCUGAGAGGACGACCAGCCACACUGGAACUGAGACACGGUCCAGACUCCUACGGGAGGCAGCAGUGGGGAAUUUUGGACAAUGGGCGAAAGCCUGAUCCAGCCAUUCCGCGUGCAGGAUGAAGGCCCUCGGGUUGUAAACUGCUUUUGUACAGAACGAAAAGGUUUCUACUAAUACUAGGAGCUCAUGACGGUACUGUAAGAAUAAGCACCGGCUAACUACGUGCCAGCAGCCGCGGAA